GACGAAGGAUGCAAGCGUUAUCCGGAUUCAUUGGGUUUAAAGGGAGCGUAGGCGGCCUUAUAAGUCAGUGGUGAAAUCUUUGGGCUUAACCCAAAAAAUUGCCAUUGAUACUGUAGGGCUUGAGUACAGUUGCUGUGGGCGGAAUAUGACAUGUAGUGGUGAAAUACAUAGAGAUGUCAUAGAACACCGAUUGCGAAGGCAGCUCACAAAACUGUAACUGACGCUGAGGCUCGAAAGUGCGGGAUCAAACAGG
rnacentral:rRNA from 1 species